rnacentral:rRNA from 1 species
AUUGAACGCUGGCGGCAGGCCUAACACAUGCAAGUCGAACGAGUGGCGGACGGGUGAGUAAUGUCUGGGAAACUGCCUGAUGGCGGGGGAUAACUACUGGAAACGGUAGCUAAUACCGCAUACCAUCGGAUGUGCCCAGAUGGGAUUAGCCAGUAGGUGGGGUAACGGCUCACCUAGGCGACGAUCCCUAGCUGGUCUGAGAGGAUGACCGGCCACACUGGAACUGAGACACGGUCCAGACGCCUACGGGAGGCAGCAGUGGGGAAUAUUUGACAAUGGGGGUAAGGCUGAGGGCGCCAUGCCGCGGGUAUUAAGAAGGCCUUCGGGUUGUAAAGUACUUUCCGCGGGGAGGCGUUACCCGCAGAAGAAGCACCGGCUAACUCCGUGCCAGCAGCCGCGGUAAUUC